rnacentral:tRNA from 1 species
UCCAGGGUAGCCUAGUGGAAAUGGCAUCUGCCCGGUAAGCGGAGCAUUGUGGGUUCGCUUCCCAUCCCCCUGGAC